GAGCACUCUGACUGCCUCCGGGCCUCGCCCAGGGCAGGUCCACGCCUUGUCAGGGGGUGUCCACGGAAACCGAUGCGGGGAACCGAUGCGGGAAGCGGGGCGCACCGAACCAUUUCUGGGAGCAUCCUCGCAAAACAGUCCAUCAGGGGCACCUUUCCCAUGAAACUGUGGUCAGCGGUUUUGCAGGUGACUAACCAUCUUCGGAAACGUUUAAGUUUCUGAACUUUGAAUUUCUUGGAUCAUCACUUGUGUUUCGAUGCAGGAGGCAGCAGUGUGGGGUGCUCUGGGCAGGACACUCCGGGGCCCCGUGCAGCUGCCUCCGUCCUCUCUGCUGGACUCCAUCCCCUCUCCCAGCGCCGCCUCCAGAGUCCUCGCGCAUGUGAGAGAGCAGCAGGCAGUGACUCCAUCUCUGGUAAUCAACGGCCUGGUACAUCCAUUUUGUCCUCGGUGCACCACUUGCUCUUUCCUCACAGCCCUGCAGUGCUCCCCUGCGUGUGCUCCACCCUUCCUGCCCCUGCCUCUGCUGACGGGAUGUAGGUUGGGCCAUGAAUGGGCAGUUGGGAACAGAGCUGCUCUGCUCAUGGAUGUAGAUAAAUCUUUUUUUUGUAUUUGAGAUUUCACUUUUCAAUAUAUAACUUAUAGAAGUAUUGCUGAUCAUGUGGAAUUUCCAUUUUUAUUUCGUUAAACCUCUGCACCAUUAUCCACAGAGACUAUACCAACUCUCAUGGACACCAACCGUGGAUGAGAGCUCCUUAUUCUCUGUAUCCUCUCCACCGUUCUGAAUUCCAUUCUUCUUUUUUAUUUGGGCCAUUCUCAAGGAGUGAGGUGGCAUCUCAGUGUUGUUUUAAUUUACAUUUCUCUUACAGUAAGUUAAGAUGAACAUUCCUGUUUCUGUAGGACAUUAGAAUUUCCUCUCUAGAGAAGAGUUUAUGUACUUCCUUUGUCCAUUUUUUAAUUUUUUUUUUGGUGUUGUUGGAUUUAUGAUUUGUAUAUAUUUUUUAAAAGAUUUAUUUAUUUAUUUAUACAAGUACUGGGUACAGUCAGAAACACUGGAGGGUGAGAGAGUUCACCAGAGCCAGAGCAGGGAGCAGAGCAGGCAGAAGGACCGAAGUACACU